AUAAUAUAAUAUAUUUUCUUCUUUCUUAACCUAUGAGCAGAGACUUUGAUGAUGGAAAUUACUUUGUAACAUUCCCCAUGGAGCCUAGGAAAAACAAUAGAAAAAAAGCAUGAAAUCUUUUUCUCAUAGUGAAAUAGAGAAGAUUCUAAGAUUGGAAAUCUGUGUAUGUGGUGUUCUAUCCCAAAUAAAGAGAAUUUAGGGAAUUCAGGCAACAAUUUUUUUCCUAAUUGGAAACUUUGUUCUGAUCCUGAGAUGCCCACACACCCCACAGGAGACGCAGUGCUGGCCCACCACAGUGUUUGGAACACGGUCAGCAUUCAGGAAACACAUUCAAAAUCGUCUAACUGAAUUCCACUAUCCACUUGUGAAUGCAAACAAAAUUCAAAUUUCCCUGAAAAUUUAUUCAACUUCUAUAUGCCAAGCACACUGCUAAAGGCUUAUCUUCUAAGUAUAUGCAGGCAUACCCUACUCACACAAAUAGCUUAUUACCAGAGAUAGGAAAUUGCAGGUAAUUUGGGAGAAAUUGUCAUAGCCAAAUUUAUGGAAAAAAUAAAAUAAAAACUUCUCUAUGGCCUCUUGAUUUAAGAAAAAAACAGAACAAUACAAAAAAAAAAAAGCACUAAAACAGGAUUUAUCUGAGAAUGUCUUUCCAAAAGGGAAGAUGACACCAAUCUAUAUAAAACGUCAGUGGAUUUACUGAGAAUCCGAGUGGAAACUUUUAAAACCUUAAACAGACUCUCCUACAGCAAAUAGAUUCUCUAUGUGCAGCAUGAGGAAUCACUGCAUAGUUCUGCUCCACCAAUAAUAUGAUUGGUACAGCACCAAACCAUGGCAAAGUUAGAUGUUAAAGAACAUAAUGUUGCAAUAAUGAUGUUAUAUUGGAUCUUAUGCAUGAACAAAUGGAAAGUAAUAAUUUAUCAACUGUGAUCCAUGAUUAAAGGCCUCAUUAUCACUAAGAAAAUGAACUUAAUGAAAAAAAUUAUAAUGAGCAAUGACAAUAUUCCUAUAAAACCUCCCUCUGGGUAUCAAGAGACAUAUUACCUGCCAAGGCCAGAUUUUACUUUUUAAGGUUUCCUCUCUCUCACCAAAGACACUAGUGGGCACAGAGGUGACACUAGAGUUAGAAUGUUACCAGAGUCAUUUGCAUUAGACAGUUUAUCUGAUCAUGAACAUGUUCCCAGGGAGAUUAGAAAAAUGGGAAGCAGGCCUCUAAAGAUCCUCCUUGGACAUUUGUAAAAAGGCUGGCUGCUUCUCCAGGAAUGUCUGAAUUAAGCAAGAAUUGUGCCACUGAAAUAGCUUCUUGUUUUUAUAUUAAACAAGGAACGAUUGUGCAGUGGAUGACCUGGACUGAAAGAUGUAUGAUGGUCAAGUUUAAACAUAUUAAUUCCUGAUUGUUUUCUUAAAUACCCACCCUAGUCAUUUUUUGGAAAAUAUUGCCAGACAUAUUUGACAUGAAUUCAUGUUUAUUCUGGCUUCUGUUCCCAAGCAGAAGUGGAUUAACCCUGGCAAUGGCUGGCUUCACUAACUGUACUUGCACCCAGCCUGGGCUGCCAUCUGCUCAGCCAGGAGAAGCAGGGAGUGGGGUGUGGGCCCUUUAAGUUCGCUCAGGGCACACUCAUUCAGUCUCCCCUGAGGAGACCUUGUCCCCCUUUGUGGGGUGAAUGCUGGCUGUUGCAGGCCAGAGGCAGUGCCAACUGGAGACUCAUCCUCUCAGCUUUGGUCAGCUUCAGCCACGUAUUCUUCAUGAGUGCUGGCUUCUGAACCUGCAGGAUCAUUUCUCAGUCAGUUUAUGGUGCAGGGUAAUUCAUUUAAAAUAAAGCCCAUUAAAACCCCAUGGCUAUAGAAUGGGUUUUAAAUAGAUUGUCCUGGAGACACAUCAUUGUAUAGUCUUUGCUUCCCUCUCAUGACCUAUCUUGGAGUAGAAUUUGUGUACUACUGUCCUUGUCUUUGAGUGGGUAUAUGUGUGAUGGUACAGAAAUACAGUCACAUAUUAUAUUAAUAUAUAUAGAUGGAUAGGAAAAACCUACAGCCAUAGGUAUUGUCCAAUAACUGAUUCUAGAGGUAGAACUAUAGAGUAUACAUUUCCUUUUUUCUUGCUUUGAUGAUAUUUUUAUACAAUUUUAUAUGCUAUAAAAUUUUCAAAAAUAUAUUUGCUAUUUUCAUUUGUAGAGCUUGGUUAGGUUUUUAUCAGCUCUUGUGCCCACUGUACAACCAGAUUCCCCUCAUCUAAUUUAAAUGUCUUCCCUUUUUCAAACUCUCCUUUAUGUUUUCCUUUUUUUUUCCUCCCAUUUUUCUACCCUUCACAAAUUCCUUCUUUUGCUUCUGUCCAGGUAACCCAUUCUGCUUGCAGUAUCAUUUUAGCACGUACAAACACAAAAUAAUGGGAAAAAUAAAAGCACCUUGUUCCAUGCAAUUCGUAUGGGAAAGUUUUGGGUGUCAAAGGUCGCUGGGGAUAGAUGGGGAGGCAGAAAUAGCUUGGGAAAAGGAAGCAGGAAAAAAGGAAAUCUUUAUGGGAAAUCAAUUACCCAAAGCAAGGUGAGUCACCUAGAGGUGAAUAUGAUGUUGUUAUUGUCCUCCCUUAGUGUACAGCACAGUUUUUGCUCUCACAGGGUUUUUCUCUUUAGGAUGCGUAGCACCCUAUGCAUUAAAUACAUAGCAUCCUAAAGACACCCUACUCACCUUGAGUCUGUAGGCUCUUUCCUGAUGAGGGCACUGGCCAUAUAUGAAUGGAAAACUCAACUCAUCUCCUCAGCUUUAGAUGUUGCUGCUGUUCAGCUGGAUUUGUGAGAAAUAUCUGGAUUACUAUCAAGAACAUUUAGCAAGACUCAAAAGAGAGAGGCAAGCAGAACCAAAACCCAAACCUCAACCAAUGACUAGCUGAAUAAACAAUUCUUUGGAGGAAUAAGGAAGGUAUUUCUGGAUGUAUUCUGAGAAUGCUCUUCCAAAAGGGAAGAUGGUAAUAAUGGACUUGUUUUGAUUUCAUGGUUGUGAUAGAAUGUACUUCCAUGAUGUGAAAUACACUUCUGGCAGAUAAAAUGCAGGUUGUAAUUUGCAUUUGUACAUCACAGGGUAAAAGAAUGGCCAUCCAUUCUGAGGAAGAGUGUUCUGUUCUCUAAGAUGCUGCUUAACCAAUGUUAUCCAAAUGCCAUAGCAUCAUAUCUCCAAAUACAAGAUUAAAUCAUAAGGAUUCAUGUAAAACAGAGUAUACUGAGCUGUUCUCAGAAAAAUUAAUGAUGUGUUUAUUGUAAAUCUUUAUUGCACAGAUGAGCCUGACAGUCCUUCAAUGUAUAAUUUUCCCCCAGCAUCUAGUAAUGCAUAAGUACUUGUAUGUUCUUCUGAUUACCAAAUAAAAACAAUGAGUUAACCUCUU
rnacentral:lncRNA from 1 species